rnacentral:rRNA from 1 species
GUGAGGAAUAUUGGACAAUGGGCGCAAGCCUGAUCCAGCCAUGCCGCGUGCAGGAAGACGCAUCUAUGGUGUGUAAACUGCUUUUGUACGGGAAGAAACACUCCCUCGUGAGGGAGCUUGACGGUACCGUAAGAAUAAGGAUCGGCUAACUCCGUGCCAGCAGCCGCGGUAAUACGGAGGAUCCAAGCGUUAUCCGGAAUCAUUGGGUUUAAAGGGUCCGUAGGCGGUUUAAUAAGUCAGUGGUGAAAGCCCAUCGCUCAACGAUGGAACGGCCAUUGAUACUGUUAGACUUGAAUUACAAGGAAGUAACUAGAAUAUGUAGUGUAGCGGUGAAAUGCUUAGAUAUUACAUGGAAUACCAAUUGCGAAGGCAGGUUACUACUUGUGGAUUGACGCUGAUGGACGAAAGCGUGGGGAGCGAACAGAAUUAGAAACCCUGGUAGUCC